rnacentral:rRNA from 1 species
UACGGAGGGUGCAAGCGUUAUCCGGAUUCACUGGGUUUAAAGGGUGCGUAGGAGGGCAGGGAAGUCCGUGGUGAAAUCUCCGAGCUUAACUCGGAAACUGCCGUGGAUACUCUCUGUCUUGAAUCCCGUGGAGAUGAGCGGAAUAUGUCAUGUAGCGGUGAAAUGCUUAGAUAUGACAUAGAACACCAAUUGCGAAGGCAGCUCACUAUACGAAUAUUGACACUGAGGCACGAAAGCGUGGGGAUCAAACAGG